AUAUAAUCGAAUUUGUUAAAGUACUGCUACUGUAUAUAACCAGUGGUUUGUGUAAAUACCUGGCAACAGUGACAAUAGUGUGAUAGAUAACACCAAACAAAAUAUAUACAGUGUAUGAAAGCCAGAUAUUAGACGGACUACGACAUAAUACGUCAAUUGGUAUGUUUUGUGAAGAAAUAAAUGACUGAGUAUUAUCCUGCAUCGAUUGGGCAUCACUAAACGUUAGACAGGAUGGUGCUUGCACAUCGUUUAACUUAGCUUGAUGAAAGUAUAUUGAUUGACCAACGGAAGGCAAGAAAAAUGCCCAUAAAGUUGCAAAAGUAGCCCAUGUCUGGGGCACAUUGUGGAUGCGGCUUAAAGAGUAAUCUGACUAGGACCAUUAGCUGGCUAGGGACGUUAAAGAUGCCUGGUUUAAAUUCCGUCGAGUUUCGCGCUCCACUAGGAUUCGAAUUCCUUCUAGAAUUUU